UAAGUUGCUGUUUGCAUUUUUAUGUUUCUGGUAGGUUGGUUAUGUUUCCUGACCUUGGAGAAGUGGCCUCCUCUAGGCGACAUCUUAUGUGUCCCAGCAGUGCAUUCCCCUCUUAUCACCCAAGCUAUAUGCUCUGGUGGUUUCCUGCUAUGAGGGCUGUGUGGGUCCUUCUGUUGUGGUGAGCUAACUAUGUGGGCCGUCUGGUAGGCUUGGUUGGCCCCUGUUCAGGUUGGUUGCUAAGCCCUGCCCUGUGCAGAGGCUGCUGGCCACUGGUUGGCAUGACCAGGUCACAAGAUGGCUGACUGCAGAACCCCAGGGGCCCCAGGGCUAGUGCUGGCUCACUGGUGGGUAGAGUCAGGGUCUAGAAAACACCAGGGCUGUUGCCCAUCCUAUGGUGGGUGAAGCAAAGUCCUGGGGUUAGUGCUGGUCUACUGGUAGGCAGAGCCAGGUCCUGGAGUCUGGAUGCAAGGCCAAUGGUCCCAGAUCUGUUGUCAGAUCGCUGGGGGGAAGGGGGAGGGGCUGUUCCUGACACAGUUGGGUAUGGGGUUUGCGAUGUCCCAGAGCUUAUGUUGACCUGCUAGUGGCCAGGGUCAGGACCCAGGCCCAGAUAGUCCCAGGACAUGGUCUGGCCUAUUGAUGGGCUGCAUGGGUCUGCCGCCUGUGGGAUUGUGGUUUUCUUGCAUCUGGUGUCUGCCCCCUGGUGGCUGAGGCUGGUCCAGAGGCUAGAACUGGCUGCCUGGACAGCACGGCCAGGGCAGGGCUGGGUCUUGGGGCUAAAAAUCAGAGGGAGGAUUCGACGAUGGCCCUUGCCAACACCAAUGUCCAUGUGGUAGAAGGAACUCCCAAGAAUGGCUGCCACCAGUGUCGAUAUGUCCCCAGGGUGAGCUGCAGCUGCCUCCUGCCUCUUUAGAAGACUCUCCAAGAUCAGCAGUUGUAGAAGAUCUUUUCUGGAAGGUUCUGGUCUUUUUCAUCAAAAGUUAUUCUGCAAAUAGCUGUGAUUUUGGUGUGCCCAUGAAAGAAGGUGAGCUCAGCAUCUUUCGAUUCCACUGUCUUGGCCAGUCCCUCCAGAAUGAACUUUUAAAAGAAUAUUGAGUCUCUUGCAGAAUUACAAAGAGGGCUAGAGCUAUAUACAGCCAGAAACAAUGAAUGCCUGAAAUCAUAUCAUUUUGGCCACAAGACAGCUACUGUCCUUGAGGCUAAAUGCUUAUUACCUUAUGGCUGACCCCACUAACGCUGGACACUGUUUCCUACCACUGCCAGACUUCCUCACAGUCCCCCCAUCUUUUGGUCAGUUGCUCCCAAACCACAGUCCCUUCCAAUUUGAAGUGAAACAUGUUGUUAUGCCCACGAGAGAGUAUAUAGGAAGGCACCUAACAGGCAUUUCAACUGUGGUAGGAGGUGAGUGCUGCCCUCUACCAAGACCCACAAGGUAGAGAUUUCCGCAAACACAGAAAGGGGAUUGAGGCCAUAGGUGGCCCAAAAGAACAUAUCUUCUGCUAGGUUUUAGACCCGUGUGGAUUCAUCUUUAAUGUAUUAACCACCUGGAGCUCUUGCUAAAUGCACAUUACAAUUGAGAGGGCUGGAAGGAGGGGGGCUUGGCUUAGCCACAAUGGAGACUGAGGCAAAAGGAAAAAUCAGUAAUACUGACCCUGUCUUUAUUUAAAAUUUUGAUAUUUGUUCAUCAUGGAAUUUGCGUUAACCUUGAUUUUUAAAAUAUUGCAUUAAAAUAGCAUUCCUCUUGAUUACUUGGUUUUUUGGCACCCAAGGCAAGUGCCUUGCUCACGUCACUCACUUUGCCCUUGUCUGGCCUCGUGAGUCAGUAGGUCUGGUCUGCGGCCCUAAGCUGCGUUUCUCACAUGCUCUCGGCUUGUGCCCAUGCUGUUGUUCCGUGGCCCACGCUUUGAGUAAAGAGGUUGUAGGAUCAUUUUGUCUGAGAUGCCAGACCAUUCAAUUCCAGUUUAGGAUUGAGAUAAACAUUUUAUUUGUCCCUACUCAUUAUUUUUCUCCAAAAACAUCUAGUUAAAAGUAUAAUAAGGUACCAUAUAAAAUGCCUUGAAAUUUUUCUUUCUCAACAAAAGCUUUGUAUAAAUACAAGCUUUCUAUAGAUGGUCAUUGAAAUCAGUAAAAACUUCAGCUUGAAAUUCCAUCAGUGCCGAAGAUCUUGUGGGUAUUUUUUAUUGAAAGAUCUUUUUCCUUCAAUAAUGGUCAUUUUACAUUAAAACUUUAUACAACCAAAAUCUCAAAAUAAUAAUAAAAUCACACUAAGGUAUUUUUAUUGUUAAGUCUCUACUUCAUUUUAUUGUUGAUAAAAAUAUUGCAAGACAAUUGUAACUCUAAUGUUUCUGCUUUAAAAUAAGCAAUUAAAACUAAACAUCACAAGAAGAGGCAAUGAAUACAUACAAUUUGCUAAUAACUGGCUAAAAUGAUAAUUUAAUAGUAAUUAAUGUAUAAGAAACAAUUGCACUUGAAAAAUUAAAAAAGUAAAGAAAAAACCUCUAGUUUUGUAAUAUGUCUUAUGAACAGAGGUUAAUCAUCUAUAACCUUGCCAGGAGAAGUGUAUGUUUGUUUAAAUUAAAAAAAAAAAAAGCUUGUGUAUUUAACUAGCAAUCAUUCAUUUCUCUUAAGUCUUGAAUUUUUUAUAUGCUUUAUAGAAUUUCCCCCAUAGUUUGUUGAUCAGAAAAGACUGCAACACAACUAAAGCAAAAUAACACUUCAUUGGUAUUUAGUGCAAAGUAGGAGUAAUUUUUACAUGAAAUAUUAAACAUGUAGCCUUUAGAAGUUGUUGGAAGUAAGUGUUAUGACUUACUUCCAGUAUACUUUCCUCAGUAUACUCUUAAAAAGAUUUUGAUGGAAAUUUUUUAACUGAGGUAUUUCUCCUCCUUUGUAUGGGAUCAGUGGUAGGUAAGCCAGUACAGAGUUGACUUGUCUACCAUUCUUUGUUAAUGAUCUGAUUUAUGCACCUGUUCUCUGCCAUUACUGUGAUAUUAUUCAAAGCUGACAGGAUGACAGAAAAAGACAAUGCAGAAGAAUUAAUGUAGCAGUAUAAUUCCAGGGCUCUAGGUGGAGAGAUUCCUAUUAAGAAGUGUUAUAUUAGUGAGGAAAUCAUUGAAACUAACAAAUGUCUACAUAUUUGAUUUAGAAAUGAACAUCACUGUGGAAAACAUGCAGUGGAAUAUUAAUUGCUUCUCAUAGCCAUAAAAAAAUUAACGUUCCAUUGGUUCUUAACAGUCUGAAGGUCCACUAUAUAUAAUAUUAACUCCAACUUGCAAAAGUACAACUAUCCACUUCACCACACAUGCCAGCUGCUACCAUGAGGCUGAGCCAUCGUUUCCAGAAAGAAAAUGCCUUGUAUAUGGUAAAUAACUUCACUGUCAUCCUUUCUUUAAGGUACAUAAUAGUGUAACAGCACACUGUCUACUGAGUAAGCAUAGAGGAAAAUGAUACUAAUAAAAUACUAAUGUGUUUUUGUAGGAGAGGAGAAAAGGAUGUAAUUCCUUCCCCUGCUGUACUAGGCAAAGGAUUUGUACUUAGAUUUUGAAGUCAGGAUUGAAGAAAAAGGUAAUAUGCCAACACCACGAAAUGUAGGUUAGUACCAGCAAUGUGUGGGUUUGCUGUAUUUCUGUGUGUCAUGUAAAGCAAAUUUAGGGAAAUAAAAGUGAAUAUAUGUGGCUUUUAAA